UACGAAGGGGGCUAGCGUUGUUCGGAAUUACUGGGCGUAAAGCGCACGUAGGCGGAUUGUUAGGUGAGGGGUGAAAUCCCAGGGCUCAACCCUGGAACUGCCUUUCAUACUGGCAAUCUAGAGUUCGAGAGAGGUGAGUGGAAUUCCGAGUGUAGAGGUGAAAUUCGUAGAUAUUCGGAGGAACACCAGUGGCGAAGGCGGCUCACUGGCUCGAUACUGACGCUGAGGUGCGAAAGCGUGGGGAGCAAACAGG
rnacentral:rRNA from 1 species